AUGAACGCUGGCGGCGUGCCUAAUACAUGCAAGUCGAGCGAACGGACGAGAAGCUUGCUUCUCUGAUGUUAGCGGCGGCCGGGUGAGUAACCCGUGGAUAACCUACCUAUAAGACUGGGAUAACUUCGGGAAACCGGAGCUAAUACCGGAUAAUAUUUUGAACCGCAUGGUUCAAAAGUGAAAGACGGUCUUGCUGUCACUUAUAGCUGGAUCCGCGCUGCAUUAGCUAGUUGGUAAGGUAACGGCUUACCAAGGCAACGAUGCAUAGCCGACCUGAGAGGGUGAUCGGCCACACUGGAACUGAGACACGGUCCAGACUCCUACGGGAGGCAGCAGUAGGGAAUCUUCCGCAAUGGGCGAAAGCCUGACGGAGCAACGCCGCGUGAGUGAUGAAGGUCUUCGGAUCGUAAAACUCUGUUAUUAGGGAAGAACAUAUGUGUAAGUAACUGUGCACAUCUUGACGGUACCUAAUCAGAAAGCCACGGCUAACUACGCG
rnacentral:rRNA from 1 species